GAAUAAUAACAUCUAUCAUUUUUGAGUAUUUCUUCUUGCCCAUUACUAUGUUGAGUUCAUCACGGGUAUUAUUUGAUCACUAGAAUGUAAGCCUCACGAGGGCAGGGACUGUGUCCACCAACUUCACUGCUGAAUUCCCAGAGCCUAAAUUCAGUGCCUGGCAGAGCAGUCUCUCAGGCCAGAAGCUCCUUAGAGAUGGAUGCAUACCCACAGAGCCGAAGGAGUGCGUUACCAAGGGGAGUCCACCUGCUGCUGACUGCAACAGCCAUUCCUCGCAUCUCAGAUACUUUGUUUUCAGCACAAGCAGCAAGCUCCUAGGAGACCACAUUAACAAUCAGCAGGUUGUUUGUCUUCUCAAGCUGGCCUUGACCCUGAGUCCGUGGGGGUGAAUAAAGCAAGUGCUCCCGAGGGGUCCUCCUCAGCACAGGGGAGUCCCCUCUGGAUUUUGGCAUCUUAGAAGACAUCAGUCAUCUGAGAAGGUUCCUGGUGGCCACGCAGGCAGCUGUUACUCCACCUACAAUUAAGAACCUGGCUGUUUGGGUAGCACUGGCCCAGCAGAAUCACUAAUAAAUAUUUCAUGAGUGAAGACAUGCAUGGAUUUCCCUUGUGCUGAACUUCUCUCCCAGAGAAACAGAGAUGGCUCUUAGUAAUGCAGGAAAACAGAUGUGGGUGUGAGGAGGGCUGUGUCCCAGGUCUCAGUUGAGCCCCUGGGAUGUGCCCUGCCAAGGUGGGUCCUUGGUUUCAUGCAGGAAAGAAUUCAAGUGUGAACCCCAGUUGA
rnacentral:lncRNA from 1 species